UUCGGGACGCCGGCGAGUGGCGAACGGGUGAGUAACACGUGGAGACCUGCCCUGGGGUGGGGGAUAACAGCUAGAAAUGGCUGCUAAUACCGCAUACGCCUUACGAGGGAAAGAUUUAUUGCCCCAGGAGGGUUUCGCGUCGGAUUAGCUUGUUGGUGGGGUAACGGCCUACCAAGGCGACGAUCCGUAGCUGGUCUUAGAGGAUGAUCAGCCACACUGGGACUGAGACACGGCCCAGACUCCUACGGGAGGCAGCAGUGGGGAAUAUUGCGCAAUGGGGGAAACCCUGACGCAGCGAUGCCGCGUGGGUGAAUAAGGCCUUAGGGUUGUAAAGCCCUUUCAGUGGGAACGAUGAUGACGGUACCCACAGAAGAAGCCCCGGCUAACUCCGUGCCAGCAGCCGCGGUAAUACGGAGGGGGCGAGCGUUGU
rnacentral:rRNA from 1 species